CCUACGGGUGGCAGCAGUGAGGAAUAUUGGUCAAUGGGCGAGAGCCUGAACCAGCCAAGUCGCGUGAAGGAUGAAGGACCUAUGGUUUGUAAACUUCUUUUAUAUGGGAAUAAAGUGAGGAACGUGUUCCUUUUUGUAUGUACUAUAUGAAUAAGCAUCGGCUAACUCCGUGCCAGCAGCCGCGGUAAUACGGAGGAUGCGAGCGUUAUCCGGAUUUAUUGGGUUUAAAGGGUGCGUAGGUGGUUAAUUAAGUCAGCGGUGAAAGUGUGGGGCUCAACCAUAAAAUUGCCGUUGAAACUGGUUGACUUGAGUAGAGUUGAGGUAGGCGGAAUUCGUGGUGUAGCGGUGAAAUGCGUAGAUAUCACGAAGAACUCCGAUUGCGAAGGCAGCUUACUAAAC
rnacentral:rRNA from 1 species